UACGGGGGGAGCAAGCGUUGUUCGGAUUUACUGGGCGUAAAGGGCGCGUAGGCGGCCAGCACAAGUCAGUUGUGAAAUCUCCGAGCUUAACUCGGAAAGGUCAACUGAUACUGUGCGGCUAGAGUGCGGAAGGGGCAACUGGAAUUCUUGGUGUAGCGGUGAAAUGCGUAGAUAUCAAGAGGAACACCUGAGGUGAAGACGGGUUGCUGGGCUGACACUGACGCUGAGGCGCGAAAGCCAGGGAGCAAACGGG
rnacentral:rRNA from 1 species